rnacentral:tmRNA from 1 species
CUUGGUUUCGACGGGGGUGAGUUGCGUCUGAGAAGCGAGUCGAGGGAACCUGUGGGCCCGCGUUAAAAAACUAUGGGAUUAAAUUUAAACGCAAACGAUAAUUUAGCUUUAGCAGCUUAGUUCUGCUACGUCCGUCCUUUGAGUCCCGCGGCUUAGGAAUGGGCGUCGACAGCGGGGUACCGAGUCUAACAAAGCUUUGAGUUAGAAACGGAAUUUAUGAAGCUACUGAAAUCUGAAGCCUGUCCUUAGGCGUCAGACAGAGGGAAUGUUAAACUAAGGAAUGCACUCGGAGAUGCUCAGGGGUUACUGCUUUCGGACAGGGGUUCGAUUCA